GGGGAUGUGGCUCAAGUGGUAGUGCGCUCGCCUGGCAUGAGAGGAGUGCUGGGUUCGAUCCUCAGCACCACA
rnacentral:tRNA from 1 species